ACAUGCCUACAACAUAGUGUUAAUUCAUCAUAUACCAUUGUAAAUCCACAGUUAAGCAUGCUUGGGAUAGAGUAGUACUGGGAUGGGUGACCUCGUGGGAAUUCCUAUUGUUUUACAUGCC
rnacentral:rRNA from 1 species